CAGUAGCCGCGGUAAUACAGAGGAUGCAAGCGUUACUCGGAAUCACUGGGCGUAAAGGACGCGUAGGCGGAUUAUCAAGUCUCUUGUGAAAUCUAACGGCUUAACCGUUAAACUGCUUGGGAAACUGAUAAUCUAGAGUAAGGGAGAGGCAGAUGGAAUUCUUGGUGUAGGGGUAAAAUCCGUAGAUAUCAAGAAGAAUACCUAUUGCGAAGGCGAUCUGCUGGAACUUAACUGACGCUAAUGCGUGAAAGCGUGGGGAGCAAACAGGAUUAGAUACCCCCGUAGUCCCUGUCUCUUAUAC
rnacentral:rRNA from 1 species